CCUCAAAACUCUAACAAAUCUCCUCACCUAUUCUUCUUUCUUUCUUCCUCACUUGUCUCUCUAUCUUGUCUUUUUAGCAAGACUUCCACUAGAUCUUGACCAGUCUCUUCUUUUCUUCUUUUUACUUGUUCAUCUUCAAACCAGGUUUUUGAUUUCUUGGUUUUCUUUUCUUUCAGUUCUUUCUUACUUUGUUAUGUAAUUCUCUGUUAGCCAAUACUGUUUUCCUUCAUGUUUUCUCAAAGUUCUUUGAUGGCAAAAAAGAAACUGACCCAAAAACUUCAAAGCCAUGAAUUACCAUAAACAAAGAGAAGUAGUUGAAGUUGUUUCUUUUGUGUGUUUCUUUUUAUUUUUUCUUUUUUCAUUUAAGAUUUUCUUUUUAUAAUUUAAAUGUAUAUUGUAACCAUAACCAUUUGUUAAAUGCCAUCUGUACCCACUGAAGCACAUAAAAUGGGCAGAUCUGAGUUGUGUUGUUUAACCUUUUUUCUGGUUCUCCAAAAUUAAUUUUAUUUCACAAAACGAGCAAACAAACAAAAAUUUCCCUUCUGUAAAACCCAACUCUUCUUCAAGUUGUUCAACAACAGUCAUUGUUUGCAGAUGCAGCAUCACCAAGAUUCACAUGCAAAUACAGGGAAUCUGCAACUAUAGCUAUAGCCAGCCAAUACAUAUUGACUAAUUAUAUAUAUACAUUCUUCUACCCAAGUUCUUCUUUUUCGUUGUUUCUUCUUUUUGAAGGUGAGAAUCUUGAUGAUGCUGCAUCAGCAAUAAAUGGCUAAAGCUAGAUUUUGAUCCGUGGUACUCGGAAAAAAAGAAGGAAACUAGAUCCAAGAUUUUUAGCAGAAGCACUAAUAAACAAGGGAAUGAGACAGGCACAAUUAAAGAUCACUUGUUUAUAUAUAUGAAGCGAGAGAAACUGGUCAUGGAAUUGAAGAAGAAUCUGAAGGCCAUGUCAUGUGGGGGCAAAGGCAAUUACUGACAAAAGCUGUUAUGUCAUUUGACAAGUGAUCAACAAUUCAUUCAUUCCCUUCUUAUAUGGUCCACAAGUACAUGGAUUGAGGAUAAAAAAACAACUUCUAUGUGUACUACAGGAUCUUUGGAAAUCAGUUUAGCUAAGAAAUUUGCUUGUUUGCAUAUGAAAAAUAAUGCAUUUUUGGAUUGGUAUGUGAAAGUUCAUGCAUCACUUUUUGAUUGAUGCCCUUGCUGCUUCUUCUUAUCUCAAUCAUUAAUUUCUCAUCAAACAACUUAAACCCACUUAUCAUCUUUCUGCUUACACUAAUUUAGCUAGCAUUUUAUAGUUAAUUAAACUUUCUUUGAAUCAUAUAUAGUAAAUACUUAGUUGCCCUUUUUGUUAUCAAUUAAUUAAGUUUUGGUAGGACUUCUUCCAAUCUCUUCAUAGUUAUUGAGUUAAUGCUAAUUGGUGAAUUGCAUCAAAUUUAGACAUUGAGUUAUAUAUUUUGGAGUGAUUUUAGUUAUUAGAUUUAGAGCAUCAAUCUAAUAGUUUUGGAUAAUGAUUUUGACAAGCAAAAGUCACAAACAAUUAGUUCUUGAACUUUUUCUGUUUAUAGAUAUAGAUACUUUUCUCUUUGCGUGUGUGUGUGUGUAUAUAUUUCCUGGGAUUUUUGGAUUCUCUUUGAUAUUCAUUGUUUCAUACGAAGGCCAUAUACAUCAACCCUUUUUUGUAGAGCUUACAAAUAUGAGAUAUUUCAUAUACGAUGGUCACUUUUUUACUCUUUUUACUUUUUUUUACAUAAAAGAUGUUGUCUAUAGAUAAAAAUUUAGAAGGAUAUAUAUAUAUAGUAGACCCAUUUAAAAACUUAAACUCGAGACCUCUCACUCCUCACGUCUUCUACAAGAUGUGAAGAUUAACCAAAUCAUAGUAAACCAAUAUAGUGCACUAACUAAUUUAUUUAAUUUGAAUAUUAAAUAUAUUUGAAUGUUACAACUGCCUGUAUGACCAUAAUUUUAAGUUGAGGUGAACAUCUGCAAUGUAGAGAUAGCAAUGGCAGAGAAUUUAUCCUCCUGGCUUCAACUACUUCCGUAUAACUAAUUAGUAUUAUUGUCAUCAAGUAAUGAUUUGAUAUCUCAUACAAGGAGACAAUAGCAGCUCUUGCAUUAUUCAAUUUAAUGGAUUUAUUUGUUUAAAUUUCAUUAUGUUACAUACAAAUUUUAAUUUGAUAUGUUCGAUUUACUUGACUCCUAA